rnacentral:rRNA from 1 species
GACGAACGCUGGCGGCGUGCUUAACACAUGCAAGUCGAACGGUAAGGCCUUCGGGUACACGAGUGGCGAACGGGUGAGUAACACGUGGGUGAUCUGCCCUGCACUUCGGGAUAAGCCUGGGAAACUGGGUCUAAUACCGGAUAGGACCACUGCCUGCAUGGGUGGUGGUGGAAAGCUUUUGCGGUGUGGGAUGGGCCCGCGGCCUAUCAGCUUGUUGGUGGGGUGAUGGCCUACCAAGGCGACGACGGGUAGCCAGCCUGAGAGGGUGACCGGCCACACUGGGACUGAGAUACGGCCCAGACUCCUACGGGAGGCAGCAGUGGGGAAUAUUGCACAAUGGGCGCAAGCCUGAUGCAGCGACGCCGCGUGAGGGAUGACGGCCUUCGGGUUGUAAACCUCUUUCAGCACCGACGAAGCGCAAGUGACGGUAGGUGCAGAAGAAGGACCGGCCAACUACGUGCCAGCCGCCGCCGUAA